rnacentral:rRNA from 1 species
UACGGAAGGCAGCAGUGGGGAAUAUUGCACAAUGGGCGAAAGCCUGAUGCAGCUAUGCCGCGUGUAUGAAGAAGGCCUUAGGGUUGUAAAGUACUUUCAUCGGGGAGGAAAAACAAAACUAAUAAUUUUAUUUCUUGACGUUACCCGAAAAAGAAGCACCGGCUAACUCCGUGCCAGCAGCCGCGGUAAUACGGAGGGUGCUAGCGUUAAUCAGAAUUACUGGGCGUAAAGAGCACGUAGGUGGUUUUUUUAAAGUCAGAUGUGAAAUCCCUGGGCUUAACCUGGAAACUGCAUUUUGAAACUGAAAUACUAGAGUAUCGUAGAGGGAGGUAGAAUUCUAGGUGUAGCGGUGAAAUGCGUAGAUAUCUGGAGGAAUACCUGUGGCGAAAGCGGCCUCCUAAACGAAUACUGACACUGAGGUGCGAAAGCGUGGGGAGCAAACAGGGAUUAGAUACC